rnacentral:rRNA from 1 species
UACAGAGGUCUCGAGCGUUGUUCGGAUUCAUUGGGCGUAAAGCGCGCGUAGGCAGCAGCGUGUGUCGGGCGUGAAAUCCCACGGCUCAACCGUGGAAGUGCACUCGAAACUGCGCAGCUAGAGUCUCGGAGAGGAAGGCGGAAUGCUUGGUGUAGAGGUGAAAUUCGUAGAUAUCAAGCGGAACACCGGUGGCGAAGGCGGCCUUCUGGACGAUGACUGACGCUGAAGCGCGAAAGCGUGGGGAGCAAACAGG